CCCUAUUCCUUUUCUUCCUCACGCGACGCAAGAGGAGAUCUAUCCCGCAUUUUCUGCAGCUAGGGCACAACGAUCCUGCGCCACCUCCUCCUUCUUUCUUCUUUCACCGGCCGGCGCAGUGACAGCAACCAAUUUCAGGCGGCAAGCUUCGGCUCCAAUCAUCCACCUCACCGGAGGGGUUCUCCGGUGAGAUUCUUCACCUUGCGGUGUUUUUUUUCCCUUCUUCCGACUGGGGUUCAAGCGGCAGAGGCAGAGAAGCGGUGGCGGUUCAUCCGAUUUCACAACACCUCCAUUACUUCCGUUCAUCUUCCAUCGAGGGGGUUCUUCGGUGGAAGUUUCGUUCAUCAUCACCGUUGUUGAAGCACAGCCGGUAUCUUGGUUGUUGUUCAUCAAUUCCGGGAGUUCAGGAGCUGGGCGUUUUGUGUGAAGCACCUUCACCGACGGGCAACAACAUCUUCUCCAGAUUUGGUUUUCACAGCAGCUCUUCAUCCGGUUCAAAUCUGGACAGUAGCAGAUCUUAUUCCAAGCAGCAGCUUCCUUCCAACAUUAGUUUGAUCUUCAUGUGUUGGUUGUGUUGAUUUGAUUAUGCAUUGGUUUAUUUCUGUGGAUUGUUAUUAUUGAAUGUGAAAUGCUUGUAUUGAUAUGAUCUCCCAUG